UACGCAGGGGGCUAGCGUUGCUCGGAAUCACUGGGCGUAAAGCGCACGUAGGCGGAUUGCUAAGUCAGGGGUGAAAUCCUGGAGCUCAACUCCAGAACUGCCUUUGAUACUGGCGACCUUGAGUCCGGGAGAGGUGAGUGGAACUGCGAGUGUAGAGGUGAAAUUCGUAGAUAUUCGCAAGAACACCAGUGGCGAAGGCGGCUCACUGGCCCGGGACUGACGCUGAGGUGCGAAAGCGUGGGGAGCGAACAGG
rnacentral:rRNA from 1 species